ACAGAUUCUACUCCAGGCCUGACCUGAUUGUGAAGGAACAGCCUAAUGGUGGAACAACAGUAUCUGCAGGUGGUUCCAGAGUAUCUGUAUAUCAGCCCUUAAGAGCAGAGUCAUUCAAGUGUCACUGAGUGAGCCACAGACUAAUGGAAGGGGCAUAAAUAUGACUGGAACAGUGGGAGGAGCCACCAUAUAUCAGGUCUGGACUGAGAUUUAAAAGAGACCCUGGCAUUUCAAGUCCAAACAGCCCCCUGUGGCAUUAGCCAGAAUCUACAGAUUGCCACUCCUUGCCUGCCCCAGAUACACACGAGAAGCCUCACCGGUACAAAAUGGAUAUUAGAUUCCCAACAUCAACAAGUUGUGAAGGAACAGCCUAAUGGUGGAACAACAGUACCUGCAGAAAUGUUGAAGAUUAUGUCGCCAUCUGUGUCAGACAAGAAAUGUCUAGUACCGAGACGUGAGAUGGAGCGACUGUGGUCAAAGGGAAUCUCAUCGAGUUCUCCCCUGCGUUCUCCUAGGAACCCGGGACAAGAAGGAGCGGCUCUCAUAUAUUUCAACAUUUUCAGAAUUCAUUUUCUAUUAGAUCAACCUGGGAUAUAAUUAAAGGGGAACUACUGUGAAAAUUGAAAUGUAAUAUAAGCUUUAUCUCAUGGAAAUAAGAAACUUUCUACAUAUAAUAAAUAUGGUACUUCUUCUGAAAUUACCAAGUUACUCUUAACUAUCCCAACGACUCCUGCAUGGAGAGAGCCCGAUUGCUAAGAGGGGGAUAGAAAA